UCCCUGAUUGCUGACACAAAAUACUCAUUUUUAUGUAUUAUUGCACUCAGACAACUUGUCAUAAAUUCAGGUCAAACCUGAAAAUCAAGAAAUGGAUUCCCAGUCAAUCGAACAUCCAAUCAAUGGAUGGUAUGCCAAGUGGAACGAAAAACCCAUACACCAAAAUU